rnacentral:rRNA from 1 species
ACCGAAAGAUGAGUUCUCUCACAGAGUAAUCUGGUAAGUCCCCAUGCAGAUCACGUGGUUGAUAGGAUGCAGAUAGAAGUAUGGCAACAUAUGUAGUCGAGCAUUACUAAUAGGACGAGGGCUUUUCCUA